UUGGUGUGAAUUGCAGAAUCCCGUGAACCAUCAAGUCUUUGAACGCAAGUUGCGCCCGAAGCCAUUAGGCCGAGGGCACGUCUGCCUGGGCGUCUCAC
rnacentral:rRNA from 1 species